AGAACGAACGCUGGCGGCAGGCCUCAAACAUGCAAGUCUAGGGGGCGUAGCAAUACGUCACCGGCGGACGGGUGCGUAACACGUGGGAAUGUACUUACUGGUUCGGAACAACUCAGGGAAACUUGAGCUAAUACCGAAUGUGCCCGAAAGGGGAAAGAUUUAUCGCCAGUAAAUCAGCCCGCGUCCGAUUAGCUAGUUGGCGGGGUAAAGGCCCACCAAGGCGACGAUCGGUAGCUGUUCUGAGAGGAAGAUCAGCCACACUGGGACUGAGACACGGCCCCAGACUCCUACGGGAGGCAGCAGUUGGGAAUCUUGGACAAUGGGGAAACCCUGAUCCAGCCAUGCCGCGUGAGUGAUGAAGGCCUUCGGGUUGUAAAACUCUUUCGGACGGGGACGAUAAUGACGGUACCCGUAGAAGAAGCUCCGGCUAACUUCGCGCCAGCAGCCGC
rnacentral:rRNA from 1 species